CAGUCGCCACGGUAAAACGGAGGGUGCAAGCGUUGUCCGGAUUUAUUGGGUUUAAAGGGUGCGUAGGCGGCCUAAUAAGUCAGUGGUGAAAGCCUCCAGCUUAACUGGAGAACUGCCAUUGAUACUGUUAGGCUUGAGUAUACUUGAGGUAGGCGGAAUUGACAGUGUAGCGGUGAAAUGCAUAGAUAUUGUCAAGAACACCAAUUGCGAAGGCAGCUUACUAAAUUAUAACUGACGCUGAGGCACGAAAGUGUGGGUAUCAAACAGGAUUAGAUACCCCUGUAGUCCCUGUCUCUUAUAA
rnacentral:rRNA from 1 species